rnacentral:lncRNA from 1 species
GAUUGUCUUCAAGCUGAGCACACACUGAGCACUGGGCCUGCCUUCUUCCUAACACAGGUUUUUGUAAGCUCCAGACAUUGGAUAAAGCAUUUUGAGGGAUAGGUGAAAACGAAAUCCUGCCCUUUACUCUUGAGAACUCACUCUGCUGUGGGAGGAGAGACAGGCAGGUAUAUCAAAGGGAAAAAUAGUAACAGUUCUGGUGGAGAGACCUGGUGAGCAACACCUUAAA